rnacentral:rRNA from 1 species
CAGAGGUCCCAAGCGUUGUUCGGAUUCACUGGGCGUAAAGGGUGCGUAGGCGGUCGGGUAAGUCUGACGUGAAAUCUUCAAGCUCAACUUGGAAACUGCGUCGGAUACUAUUCGGCUAGAGGAAUGGAGGGGAGACUGGAAUACUUGGUGUAGCAGUGAAAUGCGUAGAUAUCAAGUGGAACACCAGUGGCGAAGGCGAGUCUCUGGACAUUUCCUGACGCUGAGGCACGAAAGCCAGGGGAGCAAACGGGAUUAGAUGCCCCGGUAGUCCUGGCCCUAAACGGUGCACGUUUGCUGUAAGAGGAAUCGACCCCUUUUGUGGCGAAGCUAACGCGUUAAACGUGCCGCCUGGGAAGUACGGCCGCAAGGUU